rnacentral:rRNA from 1 species
UGGGGAAUCUUCCGCAAUGGACGAAAGUCUGACGGAGCAACGCCGCGUGAGUGAAGAAGGUUUUCGGAUCGUAAAACUCUGUCUUUUGGGGCGAACGUGAGUAUGGUGAACAAUCAUAGUCAGUGACGGUACCAAAGGAGGAAGCCACGGCUAACUACGUGCCAGCAGCCGCGGUAAUACGUAGGUGGCAAGCGUUGUCCGGAAUUAUUGGGCGUAAAGAGCGCGUAGGCGGGAUAGUCAGUCUGUUGUAAAGUGCGGGGCUCAACCCCGUGAUGGCAAUGGAAACAGCUAUUCUUGAGUCGCGAGAGGAAGGAAGUGGAAUUCCCAGUGUAGCGGUGAAAUGCGUAGAUAUUGGGAGGAACACCAGUGGCGAAGGCGACUUUCUGGACUGUGUCUGACGCUGAGGCGCGAAAGCCAGGGGAGCGAACGGGAUUAGAUACCCCGGUAGUCCUGGCCGUAAACGAUGGGUACUAGGUGUGGGAGGUAUCGACCCCUUCCGUGCCGGAGUUAACGCAAUAAGUACCCCGCCUGGGGAGUACGGUCGCAAGACUGAAACUCAAAUGAAUUGACGGGGUCAUAGCUGUUUCCUG